AGUAACGCGUGAGGAACCUGCCUCAAAGAGGGGGACAACAGUUGGAAACGACUGCUAAUACCGCAUAAGCCCACAGCUCGGCAUCGAGCAGAGGGAAAAGGAGUGAUCCGCUUUGAGAUGGCCUCGCGUCCGAUUAGCUGGUUGGUGAGGUAACGGCCCACCAAGGCGACGAUCGGUAGCCGGACUGAGAGGUUGAACGGCCGCAUUGGGACUGAGACACGGCCCAG
rnacentral:rRNA from 1 species